AUAGUGAAGGAAAAAAAAAUACGACGGGAAAAAAACUGAGGAGGAAAGGAAAUUGUGAAGAUUGGUUAUGUAAUUUUUUUUAACUAUCACAGAAAGGAAUGAUUGAAAGGGUAACAUAGUGGAAGAAAAGGGAAAGAAUACGAGGAAAAAAUCAAACAGGAAAAAUAGGGACGCUGGGUUAACUUAUAUUUUUUCUUAACUUCGUCACAAGGAGGAAUAUUUGAAAGGGUAAUAUAGUGGGGGAAAAAAGGAAAUAGUACGGAAGUAAUGGAGUAGAAAACAUGUAGGAAUGUUCAUUACGUAAUUUUUUCUUAACUAUCACAAAGGGAUGAUUUUGGAAGGGUAAUAAAGUUGAAGAAAAGGAAAACAAAAAAAAAUCAAGUAGAAAAAAAUAGGAACGCUUGGUUAACUUUUUUCUUUUUUUCUUUUUCUCACAAGGAGGAAUGAACGAACGAGUACCAUAGUAAGUAGAAAAGGAAAUGCAAGGAAAUAAAAUCGAGCAGAAAAAUGGGGACGCUGGGCUUACUUUUUUUUUUCCUUUUUCUUUUUUCACAAGGAGAUUAAUUGAAAGGGUAAUAAAGUUUAAGAAAAUGAAAACGAAAACGAGAAAAAAAUCAAACAGAAAACAUUGGGACGCUGUGUUACCUUUUUUUUUUUUUUAACGAAGUAAUAAUUGAAAGAGAAAUAUUUGCUCGACUACACUUUUUCUUUUUUUUAUUUCUGCAAGCCGUUAAUUAUGUGUGUGUUGAGGCAUGUUUUAAUAAGUCCCUUCACCUUUUUAUUCUCUUAUUUUAUUUGUUUUACCUGUGGGCGGUGUAAGUCCUUCAGUUUACUAAUUACCUUGUUUCCGCGUUUUCUUACCUGAAAUUUCCAUACCCGUUAAUUAAGUGAAGGUAACGUGUUUUAACCAGCUUUCCUCUCGUCGUUCCAUUUUUUUUUUUUUUUUUUUUUUUUUUUUUUUUGUAUUACCUGCGGGCGGUGUGAAUAUCUCAUUCUGCACACCUGUUAUCCACGUGUUCCUUUGUUUCCUUUUAUUUUCAUCUCCUAGCCAGUUCAUUCGUGUACAUUAUCGUAUUAUUUUCUUUAUUACCUGCGGGCGAUGCGAAUCUCACCUUAUGGACACCUGUCUUCCACGUGUUCCUUUGUUUCAUUUUAUUUCCAUCUUUCAACCAGUGCUUUAUCGUUUUUCUUUAUUACCUGAGGACGGUGUCAAUCUCACCUUUUGCACACCUGUAUACCACCUUCCCUUUGUUUCCUGUUCUGUCCAUGUUUUAAGCAGAUCAUUCGCUACAUUACCUUCAUUAUUCACCUUGUAUUAUCUCCCUCCAGGCGACGUGAAGCUCCUCUUUUACACACCUAUAUUCCACCUUUCCUUUGUUUCCUGUUCUGUCCAUGUUUUAACUAGCUCGUUCGUUAUUUUAUCUUUGUUUUCUUUAUUAUUCAAUUUGCAUUUCCUCCGGGCUGCGUGAAUCUUCUUUUGUACAUUUAUUUUCCAUGUCUUCCUUUGUUUUAGCCAGUUGGUUUAUUUACAUUAUAUUUUUUACCUUAACAUUUAAUUUUUAUUGCCUAUAGACCGUGUAAGUUCCUCUCAUUUUACACACUUCAGUUCUUCGUUUUCUUUUCUGUGAUGUGGCGUUUUGGGCUGUUCUUUAUUUACAUUAAUUUUUUUCUUUAUUGUUUCAUAUCUGUGUGUGUGUGUGUGUGUGUGUGUGUGUGUGUGUGUGUGUGUGUGUGUGUGUACCGAACCCAUGCAUAGCUAUAGGUUAUGUUUCUAACUUCACCUUUCAUUCAUAUUACCUGUAGACGCUGUAUGUCUGUCUCUAUUCUCACGUAUUUUGAUUCCUCGUAUUUCCUUGUUUUCUCAGAUUUAUAAACUGAUUCUCGUUAAACAUGAGAUUUUUAUUGACUGGUACCUCACUGUUUCAAAUUCUCACCUCUAUUAUUUUUGUGUAAGUUACCUGCGAGCAGUGUAGAUUCUCUCUCUCUCUCUCUCUCUCUCUCUCUCUCUCUCUCUCUCUCUCUCUCUCUCUCUCUCUCUCUCUCUCUCUCUCUCUCUCUCUCUCUCUCUCUCUCUCUCUCUCUCUCCAUUUUUAAUUUCCUCAUUCUCACGUUUUCCCUUAUUCACUUAAUUUCCAUACUCGCGUAGGGGAAAGAGAAAUUUAACCACGUCUGUCAUUUCAUUUUUCCUUAUUGCUCCCAUUUACAUAACCUGCGGGUGAUGGUGGUGUUGGUCUUCAUUUUAUGUAUUUCCCUCUUUUUCACAUUUUCCAUUGUUUUCCGUGAUUUCCGUUGGUGGUUUGGGUCUUCAUUUUAUAAUCAUUCCUUCUUUUUCGCGUUUCCCAUUGUUUUCCGUGAUUUCCGUGGGUGUUGUAGGUCUUCUUUUCAUAUCAUUCCCUCAUUUGCACUUCCCAUUGUUUUCCGUGAUUCCCAUCCUCGUGUAGGCCAGGGGUGAUAGCGGUGUUAGGGCGACGAGCUCUCUUUACACACCAAAAUAGACUCGUAUUGGGCGACAGCUGCGGUGGAUGGCGUCAACAUGUUUUCUUCUCUCUUCCUCGCGCUGUGUUAUUCCGUUCCUGCAUGUCUGUGUCUGGCUGGCUGUUAGGAUGGCUGACUGGCUGCUUGGCUGGCUUAUUUUUCUGCCACUUUUUUUUUUUUUUUUUUUGUGUGUGUGUGUGUGUGUCUAUGCGUGACUCCCUGGUAUGUUAGCUGGCGUUAUUUCAUUCUGUUUGUUUGUGUUUGUGUGUGUUUUUUUGUCUUUAUUUCUCUCUCUCUCUCUCUCUCUCUCUCUCUCUCUCUCUCUCUCUCUCUCUCUCUCUCUCUCUCUCUCUCUCUCUCUCUCUCUCUCUCACACACACACACACACACACACACACACCAUUUAGAAUGAAUCCAAUUAUAUCCAUGUUCAAUUACGGACGAGAGUUCGGUUCCUUCCCUUUGUUCCUCGAGGGUCAGAAGCAGUGAAGUGUGUGUGUGUGUGUGUGUGUGUGUGUGUGUGUGUGUGUGUGUGUGUGUGUGUCUUUGAUUUGCUGGACUUGGGUGUACCUGUGAUUAAAUAAAUGUGAAUACUGACGACGGCUCUGUGAAUGUGUGUGUGUGUGUGUGUGUGUGUGUGUGUGUGUGUGUGUGUGUGUGUGUGUGUGUGUGUGUGUGUGUGUUUCCUAUAAUUGCAUCCUUCAUCACGCUGGUCGAGGAGGAGGAAGUGAAGGAAACUCCAGCAGCUUUGUUAACCUUUUAUCAAUAAUUAUUGCUGGAUGGUGGUGGUGGUGGUGGUGGUCGUACAGGUGCGAGGUAUGCGCUCUCUCUCUCUCUCUCUCUCUCUCUCUCUCUCUCUCUCUCUCUCUCUCACACACACACACACACACACACACACACACACACACACAACAGAGGUCCGCGCCAAGCGUUUCAUUACACGUGAGUGCUUCCAAUGGUAAUUAUCGCCCACCAUGGCUAGCGCUCCACAGGCGGAGGUGUAACUAUAUUGUGCACAGUGCUGAACCCUUGACCUCAGUACUUUGGAUACGCGGAAGGUGUCUGAGUAAAUCUAAAAGUGAUUCUAUGGGGAAAGGGAGCUAGAAGGGAAGGCUCAACCAUCAGCUGACAAUAUAUUAUUCUGGGUGGAUCUGGCGCUCGCUCUUCCUGCCUCUCCGCCCCCAAGGUUUGUCCGUGGCAGCUCGACCCGAAGUGGUCCCCGCCGCCCUUUCCCCCACACGUCACUGCUGUCGCCGCUGCCAAGGACAGAUACAGCCUCAAAUGGUUCACCCUGAGUCAGUAGCUCUUUAAUGUUGACAGUGCGAAUACGGGGACGGGGAGAGAGAGAGAGACAGAGAGAGAGAGAAUCACUCGCAGGUGUUAAUAUUUUACAUAACUGUAUAAGUUUACAUGAAAUACACUUAAUAGAAAAUUGCAUAAUGUCAUACAAUACAAUGAGAGGCGCGGGCACUAAAGAGGCGACGGUGCAGAUGGUGCGGCACUCCGUGGUACUGCGGUGGGACUUGUUUUACAGGACAUCUCUGGCCGUAGCCACGGGAUCUCAAGUCACCUCACUUUUAACGUGCCAUCUCACGCGAGUGUUAAGUAACGUCAGCAGCACGGGGAACUACCUCCCACCGGUCUCGAGCGUCUCCUUCCCUUGAGGGUCGCCGGCAAGGCACCUCAGGGGAAGGACAUGUCUCGAGGCCGCGGAACAGACUCGCCGGUGUUGGCUAACUCACCUCGCUGCAACAGUUGUUGAGAGACACAAAUUCAAGAGUGACAUCGCAAGGAAACAUUCUUAACGGAUAAUAGAAACAUGGUCUAAAGAGUGCUGUGGGUGACUCCUGUGGCCUGUCCGUGGCCUAGAAAUAUGCCUCCCGUCUCAGCCCCUGGGCAGGUCAACAAGAGACACACACACUACCUAUAUACUCGUAUGUAGAAUAUAAUAUUGAUAUAUAUUUACGGCUUUUAUGUCGAAAACUAUAUUGGAAAAGUGUCAUACAUUUCCCUAUUUAUAAAUACACGUAUCUAUACAGCUACAAAAGUGUAGAAGCUCUGGUUAUGUCGCCCCUUGGGAGGUGAGGACCCAUUGGGCGGGGCGGGCACGCAGGCCCCACGGUGUGGCAAGGAAAGUAAAGACACGGCAUGGGGGCGGCUCCCGUUAGCUUUGUGGCGGCGGUGGUGGUGGCCCCGACUUAACCUAGUGAUGGAGAUGGAUGGUGGUGCGGGUGGUGGUGGUGGUGUUGGGCUGUUUUAGUGGAAAUGAAGGUGACCCAAGUUCAUGCUGGCAUGGUGAUGGAGCUAGAUGGUGCCAAUGGUGGUAGAGGUGAUGGUGAAAGGAGGAGUUGUGGUGGUGGUGAUGGUGGUCAGCACGACGGCUCAUUGUCCAAGCAGUCGUGUGUGGCUUGAGGUGGCUCCCUCGCUCCCUGACUCCUGAAGGAACUACUCGGGGACAUCGAAAGGGUAUAAGGGACGUGACGGUGUGUUUCCGGGGCGACGUGUUUCUCGUUGACUUGAUGUGUACUGCAUGAGUGUGAGUGUGUGUGUGUGUGUGUGUGUGUGUGUGUGUGUGUGUGUGUG